UAGACAUGCAAGUCGAGCGAACAGAAGGGAGCUUGCUCCCGGAUGUUAGCGGCGGACGGGUGAGUAACACGUGGGUAACCUGCCUGUAAGACUGGGAUAACUCCGGGAAACCGGAGCUAAUACCGGAUAGUUCCUUGAACCGCAUGGUUCAAGGAUGAAAGACGGUUUCGGCUGUCACUUACAGAUGGACCCGCGGCGCAUUAGCUAGUUGGUGGGGUAAUGGCUCACCAAGGCGACGAUGCGUAGCCGACCUGAGAGGGUGAUCGGCCACACUGGGACUGAGACACGGCCCAGACUCCUACGGGAGGCAGCAGUAGGGAAUCUUCCGCAAUGGACGAAAGUCUGACGGAGCAACGCCGCGUGAGUGAUGAAGGUUUUCGGAUCGUAAAGCUCUGUUGUUAGGGAAGAACAAGUGCGAGAGUAACUGCUCGCACCUUGACGGUACCUAACCAGAAAGCCACGGCUAACUACGUGCCAGCAGCCGCGGUAAUACGUAGGUGGCAAGCGUUGUCCGGAAUUAUUGGGCGUAAAGGGCUCGCAGGCGGUUUCUUAAGUCUGAUGUGAAAGCCCCCGGCUCAACCGGGGAGGGUCAUUGGAAACUGGGAAACUUGAGUGCAGAAGAGGAGAGUGGAAUUCCACGUGUAGCGGUGAAAUGCGUAGAGAUGUGGAGGAACACCAGUGGCGAAGGCGACUCUCUGGUCUGUAACUGACGCUGAGGAGCGAAAGCGUGGGGAGCGAACAGGAUUAGAUACCCUGGUAGUCCACGCCGUAAACGAUGAGUGCUAGUGGUUU
rnacentral:rRNA from 1 species